ACAGGAAAAAUAGUUCAACCCACCUCUUUUGAUGACCAUUUCAACAAAAUAUUACAAUAGCCUUGAAUGUUGAGGACGAUCUGAUCUGGUCCAUUCUCCUAUUUAGCUGCGGUGUAGUUCUAAAUCACCUUCACCUAUUGCUUUUUCAGGUCGAAUCAGGGGAGAAUUUCAAGCUUGACAAAUACGUCUUUCGCGAUUGUGGAGAAGGGGAUAGAAAAAAGGGUCUGGUGAUAGUGUAAGCAGUGAGCACCAGACUCAAUAUUAUAUCCCCUUUCUCUCUCCAUGGAAGAAUGAAAAAGAAAGGAAGUCUUAUUUGUCAGGCUUGUUAUUCUCCUUUGAUGUCGUGAGAGGGCAAGAGGUGGUGAUUAGAUACCUCCACGGCUGAGUUUGAGAAUGGAACAGAUUCUGAUCGAUGGGAGAAAGGAAUAUGAUUUAUAGAUAGGAUUCAGUGGUUUGGACCUGACCACAGCUGUCCGAACCAUCAUUUCAGUUUAUGGGGUUUCUGAAGCAAAAUAUAUAGCCUCAUCUAUCAUCAUCAUUAAAGCAUCAUCUGAUCAUAUGCUGAGGCAUGAAACAAAAAAAUCAGCAAUACACUCUUCAUCAAAAUUUAAAAUUGAUCUGCAGCCAUGAGUUUUGCUUCAAGAUGUUACAGAGCAUGUUUUUUAUAGGGGAAAUUAAGUGAAAGCAGAGUUGAAAGUGCA